GACGAACGCUGGCGGUGUGCUUAACACAUGCAAGUCGAACGGUAAGGCCCUUUCGGGGGUACACGAGUGGCGAACGGGUGCGUAACACGUGAGUAACCUGCCCUCAUCUCUGGGAUAACAGUCGGAAACGGUUGCUAAUACUGGAUAUGAGCUUGCAAGGCAUCUUGUGGGUUGGAAAGAUUUUUUUUGGUUGGGGAUGGAUUCGCGGCCUAUCAGCUUGUUGGUGAGGUAGUGGCUCACCAAGGCUUCGACGGGUAGCCGGCCUGAGAGGGCGACCGGCCACAUUGGGACUGAGAUACGGCCCAAACUCCUACGGGAGGCAGCAGUGGGGAAUAUUGCACAAUGGACGGAAGUCUGAUGCAGCAACGCCGCGUGCGGGAUGACGGCCUUCGGGUUGUAAACCGCUUUCAAUUGUGACGAAGCUUUUUUGUGACGGUAGCAGUAGAAGAAGCACCGGCUAACUACGUG
rnacentral:rRNA from 1 species